rnacentral:lncRNA from 1 species
CUAAACUAAGUGGAGUCUACAAGGCACAUUGAGCUCAGAACUCAGAGGCUUGCCAUCCCCGGGCUCUUCUAGUGUGAGGCCCACGAUUGGAGGCCUCUUAGUUCUCACCUAAUCCCAGUCCUUCCAUGCAUGUACCUCUUCCCUGCUCCCUUGAGCUGUCUGGUGCCCACAAUCCACCCCGCCCAGCCAAAGCAUACGGUCUACCUAAGCAAAUGCUCCGUCCGGACGGGACUUUCCCCUGGCCAUUGCUGCAGUCAGUAUUGUCAUAAGACAAGCAAUUCAGAACCCAAAGCUGAGGCUGUCUUCUUGUGGUCAACAAGAGGAGGCACUGUGGCCACCGGCUGACCUCAGGGAAAGCUCUGGCACUGUGCACUGUGACUUUGUAGAAGCCACCAAUCUUCCCAAGCUGGGUUUUCAUACCUGUGGGACAGGUACAGCUGCACCCCCAACAUGGCAUGGUUCUGAAGAUUAAAUGAGAUGGGAGCAAAGGAUCUAGGAGAUUGACUGGCACAGGAGCCUCAGGAAGUGGUGGUCCCUAAUACCACAGGGGCAUGCAGCACCCAGCAAUGGCGAUACACACAAACUUUAUCCCACAAUCUGGACCUUAUUACUGCCUCCUUCCGGGACUUUCUCAGGAACAGCAAGCCUUCCAUGAUGUUAACACCUUGAGCUGGUGAUGUCUUAAAAACAACAACAACAAAUUCCUUAUUUGCAAA